rnacentral:rRNA from 1 species
AGCGAACGCUGGCGGCAGGCCUAACACAUGCAAGUCGAACGAACCUUUCGGGGUUAGUGGCGGACGGGUGAGUAACACGUGGGAACGUGCCUUUAGGUUCGGAAUAACUCAGGGAAACUUGUGCUAAUACCGAAUGUGCCCUUCGGGGGAAAGAUUAAUCGCCUUUAGAGCGGCCCGCGUCUGAUUAGCUAGUUGGUUGAGGUAAUGGCUCACCAAGGCGACGAUCAGUAGCUGGUCUGAGAGGAUGAUCAGCCACAUUGGGACUGAGACACGGCCCAAACUCCUACGGGAGGCAGCAGUGGGGAAUCUUGCGCAAUGGGCGAAAGCCUGACGCAGCGACGCCGCGUGCGGGAGGAAGCUUUUCGGAGUGUAAACCGCUGUCAGAGGGGAAGAAAUGUCGGGGGAGGAAAUGCCCUUGAUUUGACGGUACCCUCAAAGGAAGCACCGGCUAACUCUGUG